CCAGAGAGCCUCGGGCACUUGUGCAACUGGGAGACUUGGAGACGGGCUCUUCUCUAAAGUGAAUGAAGAAACAGCCAAGCCAGAUUUCAGAACGGACUCCACAAAACCAUGAGAAGCAUGGGAGCCGUGCACACUUGUUACAGAUGAAUCAAGAUACGAUGACCUGAUCCGCAGGACAAUAAACAGGUCCUCACAACUGAGCACAGUGCAAACAUCUCCUUCGAAAUGUGGGACUUGUAAAACUAUCAUUUUAAUUCACUCUGUCUGGUAGGGUUCAGAGUCAAGCUCUAGCAGUUAGGAACAGAGACCCUUUGAAGUGUCAUUUGACACCUCUGAGUCACGGUCUGGACCUUUACGAAAGGUGAUUCGAACUAGGGCUUCCCUACAACUUCCUGGAAAAUGAACUAAAACCAUGAGCAAAGUGACGAUGGCACCCUGCUGGGACUUCUGGCCUACAACAGGUUUUGUGCCAUGAAGGUCUACAGUUACCAUAAAGGCAGAAUCAACAGACAGAGCACAGAUAUCGAAUGUCUAUCCUACAAAUAAGUGAUUAAACGGUAACAAUAAAAC